rnacentral:rRNA from 1 species
CAGUCGCCACGGUAAUACGUAGGUGGCAAGCGUUGUCCGGAAUUAUUGGGCGUAAAGCGCGCGCAGGCGGAUCAGUCAGUCUGUCUUAAAAGUUCGGGGCUUAACCCCGUGAUGGGAUGGAAACUGCUGAUCUAGAGUAUCGGAGAGGAAAGUGGAAUUCCUAGUGUAGCGGUGAAAUGCGUAGAUAUUAGGAAGAACACCAGUGGCGAAGGCGACUUUCUGGACGAAAACUGACGCUGAGGCGCGAAAGCCAGGGGAGCGAACGGGAUUAGAUACCCGUGUAGUCCCUGUCUCUUAUACC